rnacentral:piRNA from 1 species
UCUUGAAUGCAGAAUGUUGAAAGAUUCAAC